rnacentral:rRNA from 1 species
CACCGCGGUUAUACGAGAGGCCCAAGUUGUUAGACAUCGGCGUAAAGCGUGGUUAAGACAAUUUUUAUACUAAAGCCAAACAUCUUCCGCACUGUUAUACGUUCACGAAGACAGGAAGCCCAAUCACGAAAGUAGCUUUAUAACAUCUGAACCCACGAAAGCUAGGGCA